GCCUUGCACUCCCAUCCCGCUCCCACGCCGUGAGUGCGCGGCGCGGGCCCCAAGGGCUGGUGUUAGUGGCAGGAACCAUCUGUGGUCACCAUGGCAAAGAGGGAGGACAGCCCUGGCCCGGAGGUGCAGCCAAUGGACAAGCAGUUUCUGGUAUGCAGUAUCUGCCUGGAUCGGUACCGGUGCCCCAAAGUUCUGCCUUGUCUACACACCUUCUGCGAAAGAUGUCUCCAGAACUACAUCCCUCCUCAGAGCCUGACACUCUCGUGUCCAGUAUGCCGGCAGACAUCCAUCCUCCCAGAACAGGGUGUCUCAGCCCUACAAAACAACUUCUUCAUCAGCAGCCUCAUGGAGGCCAUGCAGCAGGCACCUGAUGGGGCCCACGACCCUGAAGACCCCCACCCCCUCAGCGCAGUGGCUGGCCGCCCUCUCUCCUGCCCCAACCAUGAAGGCAAGGAGCCCUUGUACCACCAGACGAUGGAGUUUUACUGUGAGGCCUGUGAGACUGCCAUGUGUGGUGAGUGCCGCGCAGGGGAGCACCGUGAACACGGCACAGUGCUGUUGCGGGACGUGGUGGAGCAGCACAAGGCAGCUCUACAGCGCCAGCUUGAAGCUGUGCGUGGCCGAUUGCCAC
rnacentral:lncRNA from 1 species